rnacentral:rRNA from 1 species
CAUGAAGUCGGAAUUGCUAGUAAUCGCAGAUCAGCAUGCUGCGGUGAAUACGUUCCCGGGCCUUGUACACACCGCCCGUCACACCAUGGGAGUCGGUAACACCCGAAGCCUGUAGUCUAACCGCAAGGAGGACGCAGUCGAAGGUGGGAUUGAUGACUGGGGUGAAGUCGUAACAAGGUAGC